rnacentral:misc_RNA from 1 species
GAUAGAACGCAGCGAAAUGCGAUAAGUAGUGUGAAUUGCAGAAUUCAGUGAAUCAUCGAAUCUUUGAACGCACAUUGCGCCCUUUGGUAUUCCAAAGGGCAUGCCUGUUCGAGCGUCAUUUGUACCCUCAAGCUUUGCUUGGUGUUGGGCGUCUUGUCUCUAGCUUUGCUGGAGACUCGCCUUAAAGUAAUUGGCAGCCGGCCUACUGGUUUCGGAGCGCAGCACAAGUCGCACUCUCUAUCAGCAAAGGUCUAGCAUCCAUUAAGCCUUUUUUUCAACUUUUGACCUCGGAUCAGGUAGGGAUACCCGCUGAACUUAAGCAUAUCAAUAAGCGGAGGA